UACGUAGGGUCCGAGCGUUGUCCGGAAUUAUUGGGCGUAAAGAGCUUGUAGGCGGUUUGUCGCGUCUGCUGUGAAAACUCGGGGCUCAACUCCGAGCUUGCAGUGGGUACGGGCAGACUAGAGUGCGGUAGGGGAGACUGGAAUUCCUGGUGUAGCGGUGGAAUGCGCAGAUAUCAGGAGGAACACCGGUGGCGAAGGCGGGUCUCUGGGCCGUAACUGACGCUGAGGAGCGAAAGCAUGGGGAGCGAACAGG
rnacentral:rRNA from 1 species